CCUGCAUAUGACGGACACAGCACUGAUCCUGGCAGCUCCUUACCCCCAGCAACCCGAAACUCACGCCUUAAUUACACAAGGGAAACCUUUUAACUCUGCAGCCAGAGUCUGGGGGUAAAGGCAGGCGUGGGAAGAUGGGUUCUCUACCUGGCCAGUACCAUGUUGCCUGUUUCUUUUCUGUACAUGUGGUGACAAAGAAAAGGGAAGAUGAGCCUCCAUGUUGAACAUACCUGGCCCCCAGCACUAACUCCCUCUCUGGGUAUAUGGAACAAGGACGACCUUAAACUUAACAAUAGAACCAAUGAUGGUUCUACCGGUCUCCCCAAAGCCCCAAGUUUAAAAGCCAUAUGAACUGGCUGAUAGUGGAAAAUGGAAGCCCAUGAGACAUACACAAAGGGGACAAAAAUAUGAGUUGCUCAACAGGGAACAUUCCCAAAUGACGUCCAGUAAGGCAACAAACCCUUCUUGUUUCAGCACUGGAAGAAAUGGAGGACAGGAGGGGCCAAACAAGUUACAGUUUCAUCCCUCCAGAGGACCAACAGAGUAUUUUGCACGAAGUUGAAGCUAAACAUGUAUUAUGUCCUAUCUCUGGACUGAAUGACUAGAUGCUACUCGGCUCCUCAACUAGAAGAAGCCUGGGACCUUGACCACACUAAUGCUCAUGACAGGGGAUUUGCAGGUGACUAGAGGUACCAGAUUUAACAAAUAAAAAUAUAGGGUGUCUAGUUAAAUUUUAGUGUAAGAUAAGCAACGAAUACCUUUUCUAGUAUUAGUGUGUCCCAUGCAAUAUACUAGAAAUGCUAUUCAUUAUUCAUGUUAAAUUUAAUUUUAAUGGGGCAUCCUGUAUUUUACGUGUCAAUCCAACCCAUGACCUCAGCAGACACUGUAGAAAAACAAAAGGAGAAUUAAGGAGAUAAGUGAAACAGAAGGUGAGCUGAAAAGAGGCACUGUGUGAAUUUGAGGGUCCAGUAGGAGCUGACUUGUAGGUACUUGGUCUGUUUUGAUGCCCACAACAACCUUGGGGAAGGGGCAGAAUAGCAGAGGGGUAAGCUUUCUGCCCCUCCAGGUUCUGUAGGAUACCAGGGCUUCUAUCGGCACCCCUAUGUUCAAAUCCUGGCUGUACCCUGCAUGGUUGUAUACACUCUGGAUAAUUCACUUAAUUUAAACCUUGCUGCUUUUAUAAAAUGGAUAAACAAAAAGUUAAUAGUGACAUUCAUCACACUGAUGUCCCUCAAUGAAUUAUCAAUAUGUUUUUCUUUCCCAUCUAUAUUCUUUCUUUAUUGAACUCUAUUAUUUUUGAUCCUGGUUUAGAGUAAGCAUUAUGCCCUUACAAGAGUGAAAUGAAAUUUUUAAAAAUAAUUUUUUAAUGUUUUCUGAGUGCUGAGUGUUUUCAACGAUCAUGCAUGACUGGCAGCAAAGAGGAACUAGGAUGGUUUCGAUAAGGAGCAACAAGUCCUGAGCACACGCAGAGAACUGGCUGUGAAUCCUGUUUCUGCCACUCACCAUUUACUUGUUGGGUAACCUUAGCCACUUCAUUUAUCCUCUCUGAUCUUCAGGCCUACCUCAUUUCCUCCCCAAAGAGAUGGUGGGUAAGAGAGAACUUAGCAAAAUGCUGCCAGAGCAUAAAUAGGUCUUAUGACUAUGUAGCAGAAAAAUGGGACCUCAAAGAGGAGGGAGACUUGCAGAGUGGGGUAUUGCUGCCAUUCUUUGAAUAGCAGCUGAAAAUAUUUCCCCAAAUUCUCCCCAUCUGGUCAGGAUACCCCACAGCCUUUUACUAAGAUGGUGUCUUCAUCUAGCCUCAGCCCAGCUGCAGUACCUUUGUGGAACUCCCACCACUGAUGCUCAAGAGGAGAGUGCUCCUGGUCCAGUGAAUGAGAUGUUGAAGUUGUGUGGAUCCUCAAUAAACGGCACAUCUUUCCCUCUCCUGAGUUCAACACCAGUUAAAAGCCCUGCAGAAAACUUUGUUCAUAAUGAAUUUUUCCACCUCCUGGACCUCAACCAUCACUACUAUCCAAGGGCUUACAGAGUGUCUGAGCAACAGGUAUGGAAUCCUAUCCUGUCAUACCAGGAACCACUUCUCAGCAAAAGAGGUGUAAAGUGGGCAUAUGACUAUUGUAUCCACUGGUCACAUUACAGCAGACCACCUAGAAACUGCCAGCCUAACACAGUGAUAGAAUCAGCUGGUAGAUGCACAGCUGAAGCACAAACAUGGAAGUAAUUCCUAGAGAGGAGGAGGUGCCAUCUUCUAGCAUGCAGUAUACACUUUAAACCAACAACCUGGUGUUCUGUUCCCAAAAGGUAAAACAUAAGGGUUCAGAACCAAAGAGAGAAAGCAGGUAUGGCCCUGUUCACCAUCAUUCCCAGUAAUCUACAUGGGAAAUUUGUGAUUUCUGCCCCUACAACUCUAGGCUCUGCUGCUUUAGAGGCUCUGAUUCCCAAUGGGGAAAUGUAUCCAGCAGGGGAAUGGGUUAUGGUUGUUGCCUAGGAACUGUGGGUUCCUGCGUGCAGAGGCCAGCAGGCAAGAAGAGGCAUGAUCAUAGUGGCUGUAGAGUUGAUCCUGAUUUGACAAUCAGGAUCCUGAUUGUUGAUCCUGAUAAUACAACUGUUAGAAAAUGGAGACAUGGGGGAUAUGCUUGGCAGCCAGCUGGCCCACUUGGGUGCCUCUUGGUAGUCCCUGCCCUAUUUUGAUGGUAAAAAGACAAGUGCAGCAGCAUGGCUUGAGAACAGCAUGGAUACUAGGGCUCAGACCCCCCAGGGAGAAAGUUUGCAUCACACCAUCAGGUAAGCCACUGAAAUCAGCAGAGAUGCCCACUAAGGGUGAAGGAAAGCUAAAAAGAAUAAAAGAAGAAAAUGAUGAGUAUCAGUUGCUGUCCUGAGAGAGGCUUCAGAGAGCUAUAAUUCUUUCCACUAUCUUUCUUCUAACUUCCACCAUGAAGAGAGACUCAUUAGCAUGCUAGAGGAGCUGUUCCAGACUUCUGUGAAAUGAAUCCAAGUGGCACAAGAGGUAGUCUGUGGUAGACACUGUGAUGUGCCACAUGACCUCCCUUCAGGGACAAAGGGCUUAUUCCCCCAUGUAAACCAAAAAUAAAAAUCUAAGCCCCCUGACCGACUGAUAGACUCCCCUGUCUGCCAAAGACAUUCCAAUCUAAACCAGAAAACCUAGUUCAGGCCAUGAUCGAAAGUGGGGAUUGGACACGCCUCAUCAUGCUCUCCUCUCUUCAGAAUUGGGAACAAGUGACCAGCAUUAACAUUUAAAAAGAUCUGGCCAGGUGCAGUGGCUCACGCCUGUAAUCCCAGCACUUUGGGAG